UUUCCUAGAUUUAGAAACCUGCCCAAGAUUCCUCCUCUUUUUGAAACCGAACCUCUUCAAAACUGAAUUUCAUAAACACCUUUUUUAUUCCAACAAAGAAAAAAUCAAUUUUGACUUCAAAAUCAAAUACAAUGGCUUAUUGAUCAGAUCCAUCUUCUUCCCCAAAGUCGAUCUGAAAUCUGUUCAUAACAAUGCUGCAACACAUUAUCCAUGAAUUGAAUGGGGUUGAAAGGUGUUAGACUCGGUGGUGGUGGGGUGCUCUGAAUGAGGAAACUUUGUUUUUCUUGCCUUUGAUUCUUUUUG
rnacentral:lncRNA from 1 species